rnacentral:rRNA from 1 species
AUUGAACGCUGGCGGCAUGCCUUACACAUGCAAGUCGAACGGUAACAGGUCAAGCUGACGAGUGGCGAACGGGUGAGUAAUAUAUCGGAGCGUGCCCGGUAGUGGGGGAUAGCCCGGCGAAAGCCGGAUUAAUACCGCAUACGACCUACGGGUGAAAGGGGGGGAUCGCAAGACCUCUCGCUAUUGGAGCGGCCGAUAUCAGAUUAGGUAGUUGGUGGGGUAAAGGCCUACCAAGCCUGCGAUCUGUAGUUGGUCUGAGAGGACGACCAGCCACACUGGGACUGAGACACGGCCCAGACUCCUACGGGAGGCAGCAGUGGGGAAUUUUGGACAAUGGGCGCAAGCCUGAUCCAGCAAUGCCGCGUGCAGGAAGAAGGCCUUCGGGUUGUAAACUGCUUUUGUCAGGGAAGAAAUCCUCUGGGUUAAUACCUCGGGGGGAUGACGGUACCUGAAGAAUAAGCACCGGCUAACUACGUGCCAGCAGCCGCCGUAACAC